rnacentral:rRNA from 1 species
UACGAAGGGGGCUAGCGUUGCUCGGAAUUACUGGGCGUAAGGGCGCGUAGGCGGACAGUUUAGUCAGAGGUGAAAGCCCAGGGCUCAACCUUGGAACUGCCUUUGAUACUGACUGUCUUGAGUUCGGGAGAGGUGAGUGGAAUGCCGAGUGUAGAGGUGAAAUUCGUAGAUAUUCGGCGGAACACCAGUGGCGAAGGCGACUCACUGGCCCGAUACUGACGCUGAGGCGCGAAAGCGUGGGGAGCAACAGG